CCCACGCUCUCCCAUCGGUUGCUCCUAUCUGCCGCGGCCCGCCGCUCCCUCUUCUGCUUCACGGGACGCCGGAUGCCCCGCUGCUCCGCCGGUCACCGCGCUCCCCACCCCCAGCAGUUGCCGUCGCUCACUCCACCAGAGACUCGCAGCAAAGAUUCUGCGGCGGAGGCCUGGAAGAAGGACGAAGGGGGUGGGGUCGUUGCCGGCGAUGAGCACAUCUCCGAGCAGUCUCUUUGGACGAGGUUUUUUCUCUCUCUCCCGUCUCGAUGGAGUCGGCUACUCUUUCCCUCCCUUGCCCUGCCCUCCCCUAGCGGAGGCGACACACUCCUCUCAUCUAUCGCCCGGGGAUGCCCUGCCCUCCCGUGGGGAAUGGGAUCUGGUGGCGCCCUUCGAACGUCGAGAGGUGGCACAACCCGCCACACACUUGUCCCCCCUCCUCAGGAUCCUCAAUUUCUCAUCUAAAAGGUUUAUGUGGAUGGAACUACCACCAUAUCCACCCAGCCUUUUGGUUUGGUCUUGUGAUGCUGACGCACAUUGCCUUUCAUGUUCCUACUAUCCGCCUUUCAGUUUUAACUUGUAAUGCUGACGCAUAUUUUCUUUCAACAGCUAUGAUAUUUCUGUCCUACAUGGAUGUAUGCAACUGCAUGAAUGGAACAACGAAGCCCCUGUCAUGAAAAUUCCAGAAUGAUGGCAGAGAUACCGAGGCGUGAAAUAAAAGGCAAAUGUGAAGCUCCUGCAUCAAUCCUCAGACUGAUUCCUGCAAAUUUUCCUGCAGAACUACAACAUGAAUAUCGAGUUUGAUGACGAUGAUGAUUGGAAGUUGGAACCAAGAGGAGGAAGCAAGUAAGUUUCAUUUGAUUUUCUAUUCAUAUGGCGGCUACUCUGACCAGAUAUGUAAAGUCUGGAUUGGUUUACUUACUUUCUUGUAUGUUCUAUACUUACAGUUUUUCAGUACUUGAUUCUUGUUGCUGCUCAGUGUAUCACUAAAUAAUCAGUGUUUUUGGGUACUUGCUUCUUGUUGCCUCACAAUGUAUCACUAAAUAAUCAGUUGACCAGUGUAGGCAAUGGUGCAUCGAUCCUAUUUAGUUCUGGUUCUGUAUGCCUCCCCAGCUACAGCUUAUCCCAAAAAAUAUUAGCAUACAAAUUGAUAUCAGUUGUGGGAGACUCGGCUACGCCUCCAAUGCCUCCAAUGUGGUGGCGGUCAUGGUGGACGCCACCAUGUGAGCUUCAGCUCAUUUGGGUGUAACUGGAGCGAUUUCCUUCGCAGUUCAAGUCUGGGCAGUUUUUUAUGUGCAUGUAAUCCCGUUUUGCACAGUCCCUAGCAUUAUUAAUUUUAUUUUUCUGCCAAUAACAACAAAGUAAUGUGUGCAUCACUAGUAGAAAACAGGGCUUUGGUCCAGGCCGGGUCAGCCCAUUAGUCCCGGUUCAGUCCAGAACCGGGACCAAUGUGGGCAUUGGUCCCGGUUCGUGAGCCCAGGGGGCCG